AAAACAUGCAGGUUCUCUACUACCUGCUCACUGCACACACAGCCUACAGAAUCUCUGCUCUGGAAAAGUGAGUAUGGAACUGGAGGAGAUAGCAGAGGUCAGGCUUGUUUUCUGUAAGUUUGUGAAUCAACUUUCCAUGGACGAUCAACUAUUUCAACGAAACAACAAACAAGAUGGCAAGCCGCUCAAGAUGAAGGACCAGCACGGAAGCAGUGUUUCAUGACGUAGAGGAUUAAAUACGCUGCAACAAUCCGGGAAACGGUAUCACAGCAUAAAAGCCAGGAACAACAGGCUCCAGGACAGCUUCUUCCACCAGGUCAUCAGACUGAUGAACUCACACUGACUUGAGUGUAUU